rnacentral:rRNA from 1 species
AUUGAACGCUGGCGGCAUGCUUUACACAUGCAAGUCGAACGAGUGACGAACGGGUGAGUAAUAUAUCGGAACGUACCGAGCAAUGCGGGAUAACCAAUCGAAAGAUUGGCUAAUACCCCAUAUUCUUCGAGCGGCCGAUAACUGAUUAGCUAGCUGGUGGGGUAAAGGCCUACCAAGGCGACGAUCAGUACCGGGUCUGGGAGGAUGAUCGGCCACACUGGGACUGAGACACGGCCCAGACUCCUACGGGAGGCAGCAGUGGGGAAUUUUGGACAAUGGAGGAAACCCUGAUCGAGCCAUGCCGCGUGUAUGAAGAAGGUCUUCGGGUUGUAAAGUACUUUUGUUAGGGAAGCGGUACCUAAAGAGGAAGCACCGGCUAACUCCGUGCCAGCAGCCGCGGUAAUUC